rnacentral:rRNA from 2 species
AGAGUUUGAUCAUGGCUCAGGAUGAACGCCGGCGGUGUGCCUAAUACAUGCAAGUCGAGCGCACUGGCCCAACUGAUAUGACGUGCUUGCACUGAAUUGACGUUGGAUUCCCAGUGAGCGGCGGACGGGUGAGUAACACGUGGGCAACCUGCCCUGAAGCGGGGGAUAACAUCUGGAAACAGGUGCUAAUACCGCAUAACAACGAAAACCACAUGGUUUUCGUUUCAAAGAUGGUUUCGGCUAUCACUUAGGAUGGGCCCGCGGUGCAUUAGCUAGUUGGUAAGGUAACGGCUUACCAAGGCGAUGAUGCAUAGCCGAGUUGAGAGACUGUUCGGCCACAAUGGAACUGAGACACGGUCCAUACUCCUACGGGAGGCAGCAGUAGGGAAUCUUCCACAAUGGGCGCAAGCCUGAUGGAGCAACACCGCGUGAGUGAAGAAGGGUUUCGGCUCGUAAAGCUCUGUUGUUGGAGAAGAACGUGCGUGAGAGUAACUGUUCACGCAGUGACGGUAUCCAACCAGAAAGUCACGGCUAACUACGUGCCAGCAGCCGCGGUAAUACGUAGGUGGCAAGCGUUAUCCGGAUUUAUUGGGCGUAAAGCGAGCGCAGGCGGUUGCUUAGGUCUGAUGUGAAAGCCUUCGGCUUAACCGAAGAAGUGCAUCGGAAACCGGGCGACUUGAGUGCAGAAGAGGACAGUGGAACUCCAUGUGUAGCGGUGGAAUGCGUAGAUAUAUGGAAGAACAUCAGUGGCGAAGGCGGCUGUCUGGUCUGCAACUGACGCUGAGGCUCGAAAGCAUGGGUAGCGAACAGGAUUAGAUACCCUGGUAGUCCAUGCCGUAAACGAUGAGUGCUAGGUGUUGGAGGGUUUCCGCCCUUCAGUGCCGGAGCUAACGCAUUAAGCACUCCGCCUGGGGAGUACGACCGCAAGGUUGAAACUCAAAGGAAUUGACGGGGGCCCGCACAAG